rnacentral:RNase_P_RNA from 1 species
GAAGGUCGCCGGGCAGUCGCGCGUCGCAAGACGUGAGGAAAGUCCGGGCUUCACGGGGCAGCGUGCAGGAUAACGUCCUGUCGGGGCAACUCGAAGGAAAGUGCCACAGAAACAAACCACCGUGGCCGGUUCGCCGCUCACGGUAAGGGUGAAAUCGUGAGGUAAGAGCUCACGGAGCGUCGCGGUGACGCGCGCUCGGGUAAACCCCACGCGAAGCAAGAUCGCUCGACUCGUCCUUCGGGACCGGACGGCCCGUCCGAACGAGCUACGUCGCAUCGAGGCGAACGGUAACGUGCGCCCCAGAUAGAUGGCUGCCGCCGCGCGAGCGGUACAGAAUCCGGCUUACAGGCGGCCUUCGCAC